rnacentral:lncRNA from 1 species
AGAAAACUAUUACUCCUUUCAAAAGAUAGAUAAAAAUACAACAAAUAUAUGAACAUUCAAUAAUUUUUAAAUGAUAAUGUUUAUAUCAUCUCUUCUAUUUACAAAAUGUUCCACUUUGCAAAAACAUGUUAUCCCCCAAUGAGGUCUGUUUUUGUUGUUUGACCUGCUCUGCAACAAACACUGGACUUUCCUAACAAAUUUAGAUAUGGCGUUUAUAGGAAGUGAUGUUGGAUGUUUUCAUAACGUGGCUUUUUGAAACUAAAAUUCAGUAAAUAGAAAUAUCAGUGAGGGGUCUUUGGUUGGAGAAACUGAACUGCAAGAUCAGGGCUUUUCCCACCCACUUUUCCCCCCGACAGCAGGCCCUAUGCACUCCCAUUCUCUGUAUCUGUCUCCUAACCUGACCACCGCCCCCCACCACCAUCUUUCCAUGGUGAUAGAGCUGUUCACCCACAAGAGUGCUAAAAGGUCAUUGUAAAGGUAAUUUUCUUGUAAUCAGGAAAGAUGGAAACAAAUAAAAUGUGAAUGCAUCAUUAUUACUAUCAUCGGCAAGGCUGAGAAACAGAUUGUUGGAUAUAUGAUUAACAUGUUUGAAUAUAUGAGCUGUGAAUGGCCUAUAAGUUCUAAUACUAAGUCAAGUUCAGAAAAUGUCUUUAAUGAAGUUCUAAAUAUGAAUAUGAACUGCUCAAUGCCUUAUUUUGGCAUUCCUGCUGUUUAACGUGUUUAUGAUGUGUUUUGACUAUUAAACUGUAAAGUCUUUCACUGUUUAUAUUCCCUCACACUCCCACUGCAUACACUAUUAUUACCAUACUUUUUAGAAUUUUCUGGAAGAGUCUAUUCAGUCACAAUCAUUGUAGACAGAUGUUAGUAUGCAGAGAUUUUAAGCACAGAAAGUAGAAGCAAUGUUACCACAUCUUCCACAGACUAUCUCCUUAAAAUACUUGUGAAUUAUUUUUGAAAACUCACAAAAUUGUGAAAUUUCUACUGGUGUCUGAAACCAUCAGCUACAUCUUCUGUUUUUAUUUUUUCCGCUUUUAUUCACCGUCCGGUUAAAUUGGAUACUCUGGUUGUUUCUGAUUAAAAUCUCCUUGCUAAUAUAUAUUCCUCUCAUGGCUGUUCGUUAUGCAUUAUACAUUUCCUUUCCCAAAAUGAAAUCACUGCUUUUUUGGUAUAUUUUAAUUUUAUUUGCACCGCUUAACUUUCAUAUAUAGAUUUUUAGCAAAUGACCUCGUUGUAACUGUCAGUUUACUAUCAACCGAGCUUUCUCUUGGGCAAAUUUUCCACAUCCACUGUUCACCUCAAUCACCCACUGUGGUUUCCUGAUCUCUCUCUAACUAUUUGGUGGCUUCAAAAGCUGAUAUUUUAUGGUAUUCAAUAGUAAAACUAACAAUAAAAGCUAUCAAUAUUCUAAAAUAGGACAUUUUGAAAUCUAUUUCUACUAGAGAAAUGAAUUAAACAAAUGAACUAGAACAUGUAAAAAAAUCCCGUCUGGAUGUUAAAUAUAAACAUAUGAAAAAUAUGGAAAUAUCACUGAAUAGAUAUAAUUAAUAGUGCUUUAUCAGAGUAAUAUUUUUGUAAGGUUAAAAAAUAAAGAACACCUUUUGUUUCCAUUAUUUAGGCAUUAGGACUGUUCCCUUUAUGACAUGUACUGGUCAGCGCUACAUGAAGACUUAUCUUUCUUUAUCUGAACUUCAAACCAUGCUACCAGCCACUGCUUGUGAAACACCACUUUCUGCUUUAGUUAUUUUCACAAGUCCUACUGCCCGCAGUACACUGCCCCCUCUUUGAGGACACGGCGUAUCUAUAUGAAGGCUGAUGGCUCUCACUGAUCCUAGCUUGCUAUUUUUACCACAAUACGUAUUCAUCUAUAAACCAACUUUACAAAAGAAAAUAUCUCAAAUCAGAAAUGUAAUGUUUAUUUCAUAUGAUUAAACUUUUCCCCAUGAUCCCAGACACUUGUUAGCUCUUUAAAACAAGUUUAUUCUUAGUUAAUAGCUCUGAAACUUUUUUAAAAAUGAAAAGACAGAGAAAACCCAGUGUUAAAUGCAAAUUUUUUAAAAAACUCUUUGCAGGAGGAAAUAUCUUUAUUUCGUGAAUUUAGCUAAAGAGGGACUCGAAUGGAGUUGAUAUCUGUAUGGAAAUCAGCCUUUGGAUUACAUAGUAUUUACCAAAGCUCUUUUUAAUAAUAUGAUGUUAUUUGAUAUCCAGAUGAUUUGAAUAAAUUGGCAUUGUUUAGGGAAAACCUAUAUCUUCAUACAUACACUCAUGUACAAAUCGUGUCCAUGCUUCAUGGGAGUAUGUACCUUGUCAAUUAUUAUUCACCUCUUUGGGUAUAUAAAAGAUACAUCUCUCGAUUUCUUAAAACAAUGGCAAAAGAGAAGAGAGUUUCCCUUUUGGAGAAUAUCCCCUACUUGAAGCGUACUACUUAUUUCAGAAACAUCUUCGCCUUUUUAAAAUAAUUGAUCUCAGUGGAAAAGAAAUUCUCCACUCUACCCAAUAUGACUACAUUUCAUCUUGAAAGUAAUAGAUCCUGAGCUGUUUUAACAAAGGAUAAUCACGGAAACCUAGAGUAAAAUCUCAAAAAUAGUGGGAAAAGUACCAAAUACAUAAUGCCCAAUAAUCUAACACAAAUCCAUCAAAGAUUCUUCACUUUUAUAGAUGUCAUAGGCAUGUGUGGUAAGAUGCCUCUCAAAAAACACAAAUAAUUACCUGCAACAGAUGUACUGGAAUCACUAAAGCUCUAACUAUAAUAUGUAGAAAACUGCAACCAUGUAUUUGCUAGGGGUUUUUUCAAGGAGAUAGCUGUAAUAAUUUCCCUACCUCAAACCUAAAAAUACAAAAUAUGUCUAGAGAUAUUUAAGGCCACACGUCAACAGCUCUUCUUGAAUCCUCUGCUUUGCAAUCAAUAAUUCUCCAGCCACUAGUGAAUAUGCUCCAUGACUCAUCAAAAACGGUAUACGCAGUCAAUGGGGAUCAUUGUUCCCCUCAUGCUCCACACAUGCGUUGACACUGACAGCAGUUAUGCCUCCUAUAGUGGGAGACAGCAUCAAGAUGGCACCAAGCCGGGAGGCAACUCCUCUGAGGUUCUCUAUAAAAUUGCCCCACCCAAAGGGGAACCCACUACAUCCAUCCUGUCUUACAUCUUUGGCAUCCUUCAAGGAAAUAAAAGUAGGCAUACUUUAUAUGGAUGGAAAGCGACUGCAUUUUUUCAGCUUCACACUCACUGUGCAUGGCAAAAUGUACUUCAGUUAUGAAAAUAUCUGGAAGGAAUGUUUCCAGGACCUAUGCCAUUGUGCUCUGUUUACCAGUCAGAUGCUUUCUCAAGAAUGUGUUCAAAUUACAAAGACAACAUCUCCGUGUAUAGGAAUUCUUCAAAGCCCAUAACAUGACUGCAGAAACAUAUUUUCACAUUUCCUAACAUUCGAACGCAUGCCCUCUUCCCCACAGGUGAAAACCCUUCAAUCUCACACAUCCAUCAAACUAUGAUUAACAUUUGGUCAGGAGUUUGUCUGGACUGAUUUGAUGUUUUUAUUUUCUAAGGAAGGAAAGUCACAGAAAAGGAAAAUACAUAUUAAGCAUUUGAGGAUAAUUGCUAUUUACUGAAAACUCUAUUUUAAAAUCAAUUUUAGUGACUCGUCUAAGUUUGGUAACUUCAGGACAAUGAUAACUCUAGUGUCUCUAGAAUGUUCCUAAGUAGCAAUCAUACUCUGUUCUGGCCUUUGAGAGGUGUUAAGACUCAUCCCCUAAUUAUAAGCCUUUUCUCUGUGAUUGCUACCUCACCACUAAAUCUCCAAACUAAAUACUAGUUUUGAGGAAAUAAAAAUAGAUGUUUGGUGUGUUUUCUCAAAUUUUGGUUACAAUGGAUAAGAAAGACGAGGUAUUUCUAUGUAUAAUAAACUUCUUUAGCUUGUAAAAAUAAGAGUCCAUUUUGUUGUGUUCUGACCAGCAAACUCUUUAGGCUUUCUCUCAGAAUACUGCUUUCCUGCUUCAUUCUAGAACAGCACUGCCCAUUAGAAAUACCACGCAUGCCACAUUUGACACUUUAAGUUUCCUAGUAGGCGCAUUAAAAAAGCAACGGGUGAAAUUAAUCUAACAAUAUAUUCUAUUGAAACCAAUACAUCCCAAAUAUUAUCACUCUAACAAAUAAUCAAUAUAAAGAUAUUAAGCAGAUGUUUUACAUUCUUUCCUUCCUACGAAGUUUUCAAAACCCAGAUGUAUUUUCCACUUCGAGCAAAUCUCAGCCCAGAUGAGCCACACUUCAAGUGCUCAACAGCCACAUGGGGCUAGUGGCUACUGCAGUGGACAGCACAUUCUACAUUUCCAAAAAUACGAAGUUUAUAUGCUUUAACAUCUUCCUAGGUAACAUCCUCUGUGAUGGGUAUUGCUGUUAGGAUUUCAUAUUUAGCAAACAUUUAAGUGAAUGUACUCCACUUCCUCCCUCCCCUCCGUGACCCUCAUAUCUGCUGCCCAGCCUGCUGUCUCUUUCUUAGCGUGUAAGAAACUCCAAUCGCCUCUUCUUUGGAGCCUCUCCUAAGCAAGAUGUGAGAUGCUUUCUAAUCUGCGCAUCUUCUAUCACCAAGCAGAAAGCCAGAAGGUGCAGCAAAGCUCCUUUCUCUGGUUCCAUAAAUAGACGUAUCAAGAACAGACCUAAUGUAUGGCGACAAUGAUAAAUGCAAGGGCAAUAUUUCUGCUUACAAUGAAGACAGGAAAUUCUAUAUAAUAAAGUAACACACUCUUCCUCAAUGAGAAAUGCGAUUUUACUCUUUUUUUCUCCCCAGGAGAAACCUUGGGAUAUUCUGUUCCUGCUCUGGAACAGAACCCAGUGUUUCAUUUCAUAGGAAUUCUGUGCCCAGAGGAAGAAGAGAAUUUUGGAAUCAAAAUUUAAUGAAUUCAACUUGGAGUCUCAGUAUGCCUCAAAUGUGGGGAUGCAAACACAAGCAGUAAUAUCUCAAACCAUAAAACACUCCAGCGUCUCUCUUGGCACUGCUGCACAGAGAAUCACGCUUAUGUGUAUCUACACACAGAUUUGUUCUUGGUUACAUGAGAAGAAAAUUAAACUAGGCACAUGUGAGGCUGAAUCUCCUAGCAAUAAUAAAACCUGAUGAUUAUGUCUUAAGUGACACUGUAAUUAUCGACGGAUGGAUGAACAGGUUUUCUGGUGCUGACCCAACCUGUUCCCUAAAAUACAAAAGGCAGCUUUUGUAGUGCUCGGCGAGGAAACCCCUUAUUAAACAAACAGAACUAGAAGCUAUGUCCACAUUUUCAAAGAAGGGCUAACAACACAGUAAUCCAAAAACAUUUCACGCCAUGCACCAUACACAGCACGGAUGAAACUCAGAACGCUGUAAGCUUCCUAAAAAAGUCCUGAGCUACAGUUGUCCCCAACUUUAAGAAAGCAAAGAUACAAGUGACAACGGUGUGCUUUCUCCAGCUACAAAAUAACUUUAUUCAGCGUCUCUCUGGCCAUAACUACAUCCAAGACCUUCCAAGUACUGGGCUAAAUAUUCUUAGGAUGAAUUUUACAAUCAUUGAAUCUUCAUUUUAACUUGUCUCCGUGAUCUUUUAUCUCAAUAGCGAGACAAGGAGAAACACCAAGGCUCUCAGGAUCCCACAGAGAUAACACGGAGUGGAUCACUUACGCUGGUAUAGAACAGCUAUGGACUCAGUACCCCCGGGUAUAAACAGACGCCGUGUUCAAACCCAGGAGGGAGGAACACCGCGUCCACGGGUGUAGUAUUUCAAAGCGCGUUGCAGAGGGCCUGCAAAUCCAAAGGCAUUAAUGACGACUUCUCUCUCCGUGUAUCAAUUUGUUUAAGAAAUUCCUCCGAGUGUGGCAGAGCCUACCACCCAUUUGCUACAGCUUGCGCCUGUGCCGGGGGCCACACGAAGUAAAGGCAGCGGCAGUCGCCUUUCUGGCAGCUUCUCACUCGAUCUUAAUCCUAGGGAAGUACCCUGCACGGAAUCACCCCACAGAGCCCCGGCAGCCGCACACCCCGCGUCCCCGGGGAGGCCGUGCACACAAGAGCCCUUCCACAGCACCCCGCCGCCUGCGCGCUGCUGGGAGGGCGAGCAGAGCUCCGCCAGGUACCUGCUCGUGUUACAGGCUCUGGAAUCAAAGUAUUCUCACAUGACACAUCACUGCCAAUAACAGAUUCCGGCUCCAUUAAAAAAAAAAAAAGUGGUGGGGGGGGGCUACAUAUUUGUCCUGCUUUUGUCUAAAACCCAGAACCCAAGUACUAACACUUUUCCUUCUCAAUCUUUCAUGAAAGCAAUUCAAUCAAGCUACUGCGGCUCCACCCAGAGAGCGUCUAUACUUACUUUUCUUACAGUUUUUGAGUGACGCACUACAAAACGAUGGGGGAAAAAAAAAAAGGAGCCCUCUGGUCUCACGCAGGGCGUCUUCCGCCCUGUAAACUUGGCAAAAGGCGAACUGGACUGAAAUCCAGCACUCUCCAUAUAAGGAAGCCCAGCUAAACAUGUCAUGCGUAAUUUACGGGUAGCAGGCAGAGAAUUAACCUUUGCGUGCACAUCUUUGGCCCCGGCGAAAACCGGGCUGGAUGGCAGCCCCGGGGACGGGGACGCGGGGUCUCCCGGGAGAAACCGGGGCUCCCAUCCCAUGGGCUUGCAUCCGCCCCCGACAAAGGUCAUUAAGUUGUAAAGUUUAUUUGGCUCAAUAGAAAGAGUAUUCUCUACAGGAAGCUCUGUCUCAAACAGAGUUAAGUGUGGGUAAACCGAUGCCCAUAAGCUUCUAGGAUGUGGGAGUCAGGAUGAGUUGUCGGGAGCCAAGAUGGUGGUGCCCCCUGGUCAUGCACCUAGUUGGAAUGCUGCCUCUUAGGCAACCAAAAUAUGUUUCGCUUUAUACCAGAAUUCAAGUGUCUGGAAUUAGAGCCACGGGGGAGCCCUCACAGUACGCAGGGCACACCUCCACACUGCCCGAAUUCCUCCUCUUUCGUAACACAGGAUUCUAUUACUGGCUGCGUGAAUGGGUGGGCUGCUUUGGGAAGUUCGUCCCGUGACAGAGGAGAGGGAGACACCCACUAACCUGAGAGAUCAGCUGGAUCAGCCCUGGAUAUCAACAGUCGGCAGACCCCCAGCUGGAUCACCCACACGUCACAGAGCCAGCCGCGUCUCAGUAAGACCGGUAUAAAGUUUCACAAUGCAAUGCAGCAGUCAUCCACUUUCAACUUUUAUUAGACUCGAUGAAAAUUUAUGUCUUAGGUAGUGUGUCACAUGAACGUAAUCUUAAUGAAACAUAGUAAAAUAUAUGUCUAUAUUUCAAAAGUCAAAAUUUAUCUUUUCCAGCAAUAAAUUAUUACAACAUGAUGUCUAAUUUUACUUAACGUGGAUUUGGGGGCAGGCUCUAAAUGCUUUUUCUUAUGACAGCAUGUGAAAUAAAAAGCAUGGGCAAUGUGUCCUGCUGUUCUAAUGAUGACAAGAAUAUUCUCUUCAACGAUCUGUGUGUCUCACGGAAACUCAGUCAGAUAAGCACUAAUUUUUUUCUGUAGAUAUAAUUUUCUCAAAGACAGAACAAAUCCUAAAAUUAUUUUCCAUAAUCUAGAACCAGUUUGUUUGCUCAGAGAUUUUAGUAAUUCUCAGCAACAACAACAUCAACACAUCUGUCUUGUCAGCAAGAUAGCAUUCCCUCUGCUUCUCUGGCCUUUGUUUGCCAUUCUGAAUUACAGGACUGAUCAAUUUAGAUUGUAAUUUCCUUGGGCUAUGUUUUCUCUUGGUCUUAUCAGUUAUUCAGCAUAAUACCACAUUAUGUCUAACACACCCACAGCACUUAAUAGUUUAUGAUAUCAAAAUACCUCAUACUUGAAAUUCUGGACAUUUAAAAAGACUUCCAUCAUUUUCUUUUUAAAGACAGGGGCAUUAAAACAACAAACAACAUAAUCAAGUUGUAAUGGAAAUAGUUUUGUUUAAUUAUCGUGUGACACAUAAAGCUGAAGAUGCACAAUUUUAAUGGAUUUCUCACAACUCCAAACUUAAUUUAAAAAUUUUGACCUAGUUAAGGAUGUUGAACUUUAGUCAACAGUUCAUUUCCUAAAUUUAUAACACUAACAAUGUGUUUUUCUUCUCUCUAUAAUCAAAAGAUAGCUACUCUCGUCACAGAAGCUUGCAUAAAAAUAGUUUUAAAAGACCAUCUUCCAAGUAAUGUAAUAGAACCAGUAUGACAACACCAUUUACCAAAAUUGAUAAAAAUUAAAUCUGUUAAUUGAUGGAACAAUACAUACUUUCUUGUUGGGGGAGCCAUGCGAUUGAUUACUCUAAUUUAAAAAAGCGAACCAAGGUAAGUAAGUUUUAAAUUUAUUAUUUGAACAUACAUAGUAUAUAUAUUUCUUGGGAUAUUUCCUUACGAGUCCCACACAGCAAACGCGUGAUGUGUGCCGCCUUCUCAAAUGAGUAAGUUAUAGAAGGGCUAGUAGCAAGUUACCCAAACGUCCAUAUAUACAACCAGACUUGUUCACUUACUGCAUUUUUCUUUUUAAGAUGUAUUGAACUCUGUCGUGUUUUUACCAACAUAUAUAAAAACCAACUGCUUUUAAAAGGAUGAUUUAAAAAUCGCUGUAUAAUGAAUACAAUUGUAUUAAAUAGUUAAUAUAUAUAAACAUUACUCUAGAUUGGCACAAACAAAAACAAAUUUCUGCUGGAUUUAGAUUACUUUAGAAUUUCCUAAUGAGAUCAGUUUCAACUUAGUUGGAUCUCCGAUUUGAAUCCAAACGAUCUUACUUUGUUGCAGUUCUCACUCCAUUUUUAAGCGUCAUAACCGCAAAUUAGUCUUAAGACAAACACGAAUUUCCGUAAUUAGAUUCACUUAUGUUUAGAUUUUUAAAGCAUACCAUCUACACUACAAAUUGCUUUUUCUAAAGUAUUUAAAUAUUAUCAUGAUGUGAUGAUAUGAAAAAUAACUGAAAUGUCACAUUUUAAAUAAUACAACGUAUUUUCAGUGGAUAAAAAUAAAUACAAGAAUAUCUUUUUCUUGGAAAAUGUCCAACUAAUAAUAUGCGACAUUAAAGACUGAUAUAUGUGGAAGAAUUUAGAAAUGUUAAGAAUUUACUGAGGCUAGGGGAAGAAAAAAAUUCUCAAAGUUUAUUAUACAAAAAUUCUUUUAGCACUAAAUUGUGUAUAAAAUUAUGAAAAAAGAAAACGUUUUACUUUGUGGUUAAAAUAAUUUAAGAUCAAUAAGAACCUUAAAAUUUUCCGGCUUUCUUAAAAGUUGCAUGUGAAGUUGAAACUUUCUGAAUUUAGUAAACUUUUUCGUUUAAAGUAUUGACUACUGCUUGAGAGAGGUGUCAGCUUUAUCUAACCUACUUUGUAUUCCACCAGCAUUUAAACCGUUGUUGUAUAAACAGCAAUCCAAAUAAUAAAAUGAAAAGUAGCAAGUAAGUCUUUCUUCUUACCUCUCUGUCUUAUUUAUAGUUGCUUGUGAAGCUGCAUAAAUAGUUGAGCUAAACUAACGGCAACUCCAAGAGCUCUCUUCUCUUCUCUGGUCACAUUUUUUUCCCUCUGCAAGAGGACAGUGUAGCAAAAGAGGAAGCUGUGAAACACCAGAGUCACUAUGCUUUAUACGGUCCGUGGAGAGCAGAAAAUUAUUCACGAAGCUUAGCCUUGGAGUCAUGAUAAUAGGCUAUAAUUUGUGUAUGUGCAUCUAUAAUUAAUGUACACAUAUAUUUAUACAUGUAAGCAAUUUUAGAAAAGUUAAGUUAUAGAAAUCUAUACUUGAUUAAGAAAUGUUCAUUUACAGAAGGAGACACCUCCUGUGUGGCUAAAUGAUAAUCAGAGAAAAACAGAAAACACUGAUCUACGCAGAAGAAGACUGUCAAGCUGACACAUGAGGGAUAAACUGACUUUCAUAAGGCUAAUUAAUUUAAAGUCUUUGGAGUAUGAUCUAAAUGCUAAUCCGAUUGCAGACAUCUUGUAAAAAGAAAAAAAAAACUUCAGUAAACGGGCAUUUUCCUGGAAUCUGGGUAGUGGUUUUUUACCUACAAGUCUUGAACUUCCUUUCUCAUGAAGAGUUGCCUGCUACAUACAGAUAAAGCAUUGCAAAACCGAAACUGUCGCUUAUCCACGAGCUAUGGCCUCUCUCAACUUCAGCCGCAAGAAUAAAAACAGGUGCAGAUCCUGCAAUGCUGAACAUUUACCAGUUAAGUUUCUAACAUGUUGGAGCACUAAUUGAAAAUAUUUACAAAACAGUAGGGACAAUGGUUGAAAAAGGACAUGAAAACAGUUGAUCAAAGCAAAUAUUAUUGUCAAUGCCAAAUAAAAGGAAAUACUCAUAUAUAUACGCAUACACACUUAUAUAUAUAUAUAUAUACUUCUCCCAGGCUACCGGUUAACAGAAGCAAAUUAGCAGCUGCAAUUUGUACGUGGCAGUCCCUCCCACCCUCCCCUGCUGGUUGGGGAAGAGGAAAGGUGUGGAUUGCAAGAAUCACUUAGCAGUUAUGCAAACCUCCACACAUUGCAAGAACCACUUUCUGGAGUUUAGAAACUAUCGUGUUCUCAGGGUAUCACAGUCUGCUUUUUAUUGAACCAUAUUUUCAAAGGGGCAAUAAAGAGUAAUUAGGGAUGAUUAAAAAUGGAAGCAUUUUCCAUUUCACUCAAACCCAUACUUACUGCGAAUUUGCAGGAAGUAAAAGUAAAUGAACAAACAAUACCAAGAAGACUGCCUCCACACAAAAAAACAAAACAAACAAAAGAACCACCAGAGUAUUCUCAACAUAAAAUUUUAUUUGAAUUCUUUAGUGAGACACUUGUAGGAAAAUCCUUGAAGAAAAAGUUACCGAUGUGAUUAAUAUUGCUUAGACUCUAUGUGUUUUGGGAAAUGUUAAAUGUUAUUGUAUUGACUAUUAGUAUAAAACACUAGGUCCUUCCGCUUCCCAAAGACCCAGGCUCACUAUCUGAAGGGUGGUGCUCAAUGUUGGGCAUGAUCUUAAUGUGCUAGCUUGAUACUUGUGUCCCUUUGACCUGGGUCGUGGACGUAUGUCUCUGGUUCUGUAACGAUCCUUUCCAGGCUGGCGAACAUGCUCAAGGUUCCUCUAUUUUAAAAAAUUCUCCUCUGACUGAUCUGCCCCUAUUACUUUCCUUUUUGAGAAAGUUGUCAUCAUUGACUUCCUUCAAGUCCCCAUAGCCUUUGUGUGUGGUAGAAUAUACAUAAAAUAAAAUUGACCGUUUUUGUCAUUUUUAAGUGUGCAGUCCAGAGGCAUUAAGCACGUUCACAUUGUUGUGCAACCAUCACCACCAUCCGUCUCCGGAUCUUAUUCAUCCCCCUAAACUGAAACUCUGUGCUCAUUAAACAAUAACUCCCCAUUUCUCCUCCCCAACCAGCCCCUGGCGACCACCAUUCUACUUUCUGUCUCUAUGAAUUUGCCUUCUCUAGGGACCUCGUAUAAAUGGAGUCACAGAAUAUUUGUCCUUGUGGCUGGCUUAUUUCACUUAGGUUCAUCGAGGUUGUAGCAUGCGUCUGAAUUUUAAUUUGUAUUUACCUGAUUGCUAUGGAGAUUGAACAUAUUUUAAUGUUGUAUUCCCUUCAUGUUUCCUGUUUGGUAAAUUGCCUGCUCCUCCAUUCCAGACGUUUGUUUAUCGGAUAUUGUCAACUUCUUAUUGGUUUGUAAGGUUAAAUUUACCUUGUGUUUCAAUGUAUUGUAUUCAUUCUUUUUUUAAUGCUCCAGUCAUUGGUUACUGUAACUUUUUGAGAUGACCCCAAUGUUCUUCAAUAAUAUCUUUACCUUCUGGCACAACAAGGAACCCAGGUUCUUUUUAUGUUUCCUACCCAGACCUGAACCUGAACUUAGGCGUUUCUCUAAAGGACAUUAGUUCCUUUCAGAGACCAGGUUUAAAAGAAUUUUUUUUUAGGAAGAUUAGCCCUGAGCUAACAUCCGUGCGCAUCUUCCUCUGCUUUAUAUGUGGGACGCCUGCCACAGCAUGGCUUGAUAAGUGGUGCAUAGGUCCGCACCCAGGAUCUAAACUGGGGAACGCUGCACCGCCCAAGCAGAGCCGUGAGCUUAACCACUACACCGCCUGGCGGGCCCCUGGGACAGGGCUUUUGAGACCACACUUUAGACCUUAGUGGCACUCAUUGUUACUGGGUUAUCAUUAACAUUAGGAAUACACUGACUUAUCAUAAGCAUUAGCAGUUAGUCAACAAAAUGUUAGCUCUUUCUAUAUGCCCAGCAGCACAUACAUGCAAGAUAAAUUUAAACACGUAUUAAAAGUUUAUAAUGUGUGUUAAUAUUACAUCAUAUUUUGCAUUAAAAUAAUUUAAGAAUAACAUAUCUGAUACAAAAAUAUCUUCUUUUGAAUAAAAAUUUGGUCGUAUUUUCUUAUAAAAGGAUAGUUUGAUAAGGAAAUGUAGGGGCCGCCCAGUGGUGCAGCGAUUAAGUGCGCAUGUUCUGCUUCACCGGUCCAGGGUUCCCCAGCCCGGAUCCCGGGUGCGGACAUGGCACCGCUUAGCAAGCCAAGGUGUGGCAGGUGUCCCACAUAUAAAAUAGAGGAAGAUGGGCAUGGAUGUUAGCUCAGGGCCAGUCUUCCUCAGCAAAAAGAGGAGGAUUGGCAGCAGAUGUUAGCUCAGGGCUAAUCUUCCUCAAAACAGACAAACAACAACGACAACAAAAGAAAGGUAAUAACAUAGUAAUUGUCAUAUCUUGCAUUUAGAACUUUGAAAAUACCCUUCCAAAGAAAUUUCAAAAAUCGUGUAGAUUGGAAAAAUGUACUCAGCUUCCAUAUUUUCCAUUAGUUUCAUCCACAUUUAUCAUUAUGAUUCUCAGUCUCUGUUUCUUUCAAUUUUUUUGCUAUUAUGCACUUAUGACUUAAAAGUUAGCAA